GUUCCAAUAAAUUGAUAUCCUUGUUUGACUACUUCUAUAAGAAAUAUAAUGUUCCAAUAAAUUGGUGUCCAGGUUUGACUACUUCUAUAAGAAACUUAAUUACUUCAUGUAGUGUGUAGACACUUGAAGAAACAUGUGCUAUCUCAUUCCAAGAAAUACUGGAGGACUAAUAGACAUAGCCCUAGGCUAGUUGAAGUGGUUUCUGAAAAAGAAAAUCAUGACAUUACAAAUUGAAGUUGUCCACAAGAGAAAUACCAGUUUAAUUUGACACAGAGUUACAAUACUGGAGAAACUGGGAUUUACAAAGUAACUUCGAACUAAAUAAUAUAGCAAAAUCAGGUUAAAAGGAUUCACUUAUUUCUGUUCUGAAAAAUCUACGCAUCAUGUAAAAUUCUAAAUAAGUGCAGAAUUUGUACAGUUAGAAAUAGCAGACUUGCGACACACUAACCAGAUUAUCGUGAUGGAGCUCAGACUUGUAAGGCAUUAUAGAUGGCAACACUGUCCAUGUGAGUGACACAACUUAAUGUACCUUUGUUCAAACUUAUAGUUUUGCGGGACAUUAUAAAUGGCUUUAAAAUCCAAUUAUGCUCUACCCUGCAAGCAGCCCACACUUGUGUUUGAAAACAAAUAUCUCCUGGAUGAACCAAGUCGCAGGAUACACAAGCAUCCAGAUUAUGGACGGAUAAUAUAAAACAUCUAGCUUGACAAUGCACUUGUUCCUGGAGUAACCCGCAACAAAAACAACCAUUCCUUUCCAUAUACUAUUAAAUUUGAGACAGUGGUUUGCUCUGCUUCAGGUACUGCUACAGUGUAAGGAUCGAGAUUCUCUAUGGUUCUUCCUUGUCUACAAAUAGAAAGGAAUAAGAAGAAAGAUAUCCUGAUCAAUGCUAUUGACAAAAUUAUGUGAAGUCCUUCUAUCUCAGGCAAACUAACGGCGAUGUUUCCCUACCACCAUGAUAGAGGAAGAUAAAUUAGGAACGUAAAUAAUCAUCUUGCGUAAGCUGUGACUAUAAUCAAAUAUAUUACCACAGAACACGAAAAGCCCUGGAGAUGUCGUGUAAAUUAAAGUGAUCAAGAAAUAAGCUACAAACUAAUUAGGACCAUCAACUUUUUAUACUGGAAGAGUUCAUCUCUUAUUACCUCUUUUUCAUCGAGCCCACCUGAUUUGGUUUCAUAUAUAGAUUGGAGUAGCAACUUGAUCUCAACUGCUAAAGUAGACCCUUCCUUACAUUCUAUCUUUUAUGGCAGAUUACUACAAGGGUAAGUUGACCAAGUCAGAAAAACGCUGAUAAUUCCUUGACCAUGGUAAUGAAUAAACUAUAAUGGAAAUACGAAAAUCAGUUAGUAGAAAAUUAGUUUUAUGAGGAGCAAGACAUUUGUGAGCAAAACUGAGUUGCAGUUUAUAAAGUUGCAGAAUUAGAGAAAGAAAAUGCUUUGAAACCGAUAGUUGUAAUGAAGAAGUACUGAAUAUAAGUUGCAACUGUGAGAUUGUUCACUUUGCAUAGGUUUUACUUGUGCGUGCGGAGAAUAAUUUCAAUUCCAGUUUAUGGUUCAUGUAUAUGGAACACCUUUAGCCCAGCACCCCACAGGACUUGAGCGACCCACACAUCAAUCACCUAGUGUACUAUCUUUAGAAUCACAAGCAUAUCUGCAUGUAAGUGCUGCCAGUAUCCUAAUAAAAUAGCCAGGAAUGACAACAUCAAGUUCCCGACUGUCUUAACUAACAGACAACAAUAGUUCCACUUCCACAUGGUAGUUGAAGUUGACUGACCUAGUAAUAGAAUCAAACGAUGUGCUUAUAAGAAUGAUUUCUGUCAAGUCAUGAGCAAUUCUCUAAACUGGAUUUCAAAGUUCACCAGAGCUUUGCUGAAAGACUCCAGUGCAGCGAUGAGGACAGAGGAAGCUUCUUCUGUGUCCAUGGGAUCAUCAUCUUCAGUUUCUGAUUCAUC
rnacentral:lncRNA from 1 species